AUACGCACGAAGCGUUUCGCUUCCACAUUUUUUAUGCGAACUGCCAAGGAGUGGAACGCCUUACCCGAGUCUGUGUUUCCGCAUGAGUACAAUCUGGGGCUCUUCAAGGCAAGAGUUAAUGGGUAUCUCAUAGGUAAGCGUGCUCCACCGUAGACCGCAUCAUCACUUACCAUCAGGUGGGAUCGUGGUCAAACGCCUGCCUAUCCAUCAUAAAAAAUAAAA